AGGUUGAAAGAAACCGUAAAAAUAUGUAUACAGUACACCCCUUUCCCU
rnacentral:tRNA from 1 species